rnacentral:rRNA from 1 species
GACGAACGCUGGCGGCGUGCUUAACACAUGCAAGUCGAACGGAAAGGCCCUGCUUUUUUGCGGUGCUCGAGUGGCGAACGGGUGAGGAACACGUGAGUAACCUGCCCUUGACUUUGGGAUAACUUCAGGAAACUGGGGCUAAUACCGGAUAGGAUCUCCUGCUGCAUGGUGGGGGUUGGAAAGUUUAGGCGGUUGGGGAUGGACUCGCGGCUUAUGAGCUUGUUGGUGGGCUAGUGGCUGACCAAGCCCUUGACCGGUAGCCGGCCUGAGAGGGGGACCGGCGACCAUAGGCCUGCGAGACGGAGCAGACUCGAAUGGGAGGCAAUGGGGGGGAGCAUGAUACAACGGGAGGGCGCCUGAUACGGAAACGUUGGGGGCGGGAUGCCGUUCUGUUGGGAGUGAAAAGCAUCCGGCUGAUACGCAGCGGGAGUGACGGUAAUGGGAGAAGAAGCACCGGCUAACUACGUG